CUGUCUCGUUGCUUUUUUGCUUUUGUGCUUGUGUCCUAGUGAAAUACUGCUUGGUCUUGCUUUCCCAAGACUCCGAAAAAAUUUGUUUAAAGUGACUGUGAAAAGCAUUUUUAGUCUAGUGAAAUAUGUGUGAUUUAUGUGUAAGAAGCGCAAAUGGCGGCUCUGCAUGAGCUGUGCCACAUUGUGCUGCUGACGAAUGACGACACGAGUAUAUGACUCGGUAUAUAUGCACCGCCACUCACGAAUGUAAUGGAACAUGAUCAACAGACCGAAGGAAGCAAGGGGCGCCACGCGAUAAAACGCUACAUCUUCGUGUUACCAAUUCGCUAUUCUACUGCUGCCGUUACUACUCUGACUUACGUCGAUUGUGUUUCUAUUCGACUAGUGAUCAUUCCGAUGGUUUUUUCGACCUACUGUGUUUCGUGUUCUUUUUGACACAGUGCAGUAUUAAAGCUUAUUUUUGUCAUUAUUCUGCGCUGUAAAGUCGUUCACUUUGCCUGUAAUGAUACCUGGAGCACUGUCAUUUAACUUCGUGUGUAGGGUCGCCUUGCAAACUUCUAAAGCAUUAGUUGUGUGCGAACGUGCAUAACCAAGAUUCUCGCAUUCUGCCUGCAUAUUUCAUGCACCAAAAAACAGGCUUUGGAGUUAAAGUUGUGAAUAGUUAAAAUUAUCGUGAUUAAAUGUGAUUAAACAAGUAAACUAUGAGUUAAAGGUGGUGAUAUGACAAGUGGUGCACAGAACCCUGAAGGCGUAACAGAAAAGAGCACCAUUAACAGCAACGGUCAGUGGAGCAGAAACGUUAGCAUCACGCACCCAAGGCGCGUGAGCUUAACGAAGGAUUCUGCGAGUACCAGCGGCAGUAUUCCGCGAAUAUACAACGCUCUCACGGCCGCGGCAGUAGCUGCAGCAGCCGCGGCCACGGGGCUCAAUUCAGAAAAUAGCAGUGGAGGCGGUGGUGGUCUUGGUGGCUCACUGAACAAACGUCAUCGUAAGCACGAAAAAUUUCGCCGAAGUUCAGGGAAAAAAAAGAAGAAACGUUCGCGAGCGGAUGACAAGCCGAAACCUUUGGUUGAGUACUCAGACGUUAGUAGCGAAGAUCUGUCCGAGCCUGAGGCCGGAGAGAUACAAUCGGAGGAUAGUCGCGGCGGCAACAGUUACACUGACGGUGAAGCCCCUGAUCCUCUUUUGCAGCACACUCGGUAUUACGAGACAGGACCAGGUCAUGCUGCUUCGUCGCUUCGAGAUGCUUCGCCAAUAAGUUUGACCCCAACGCCGCCGUCGGGGCAUCAUUCAAAAAAAUUGCACAAUUACUCGUCCAGUGUUGAAGUAACCGACGACAUGGUUGAGCACUUUGGUGAAGUUGCGGGUAGUCGUAGGAGAAAGGAAAAAAAACACAAGCGUGACAAAAAAAAGGUCAAAGGCAGUCCUGGCUCAGCGGUGGGUAAGAAGAAAAAAAGAAAAUCAAAAAAGUCUUCAAGAAGCCUUAGUCCGAGCGCAAUGCCCGAAAUGCUGAUACAUUCUCGGGCUCUAGUCGAACUACGUAUGAGGCAGUCCGAAGCUACUUCGCCAAUAAUGGCUCUCAAAGAUAGUACUUCUCCAAUUUCGCCAGCUACACCACCAGACCAACGCCAUCAUGGUAGAUCACCGAGUGAUAUGGAUUUGGAAUCACCGCCACCACCAGCUCGACACUUGACUCCUCCACACCGUCUUGCUGAAUCCCCCCACACUCCAUUGCAACCACCAAGAGCUCACACGCCGGAUGGUCACCAUCAUCAUUCGGGUAAAUCAAAGCAUCAUAGUCCAGAUUCGAGGUAUAAGCACACUAGCCCAAAUCAUAGAAGCAGGAGACCACAUAGUCCAAGCCCUCCUAACAGGGGAAGAAGAGAACAUAGUCCGACAAGGCGAAGAGAUUAUAGUCCUUCGACUCAUCAAUCAAGUUCUGUUCACCGAAUGAGCUCCAGACACAGUCAGAGUCCUUCGCGAUCAAGACGAGAUUAUAGUCACAGUCCACAUCGAAAGAGGGUUGAAGAUUUGAUGCCUAGAUCUCCUCCGAGUAAAAGACGCCGAAGAGAUGACUCGUCACGAAGAGUUAAAGAAAAAGACAGAAGAGACAAAAGAACUUCAAGGCUCGUAUCUCGAUCGCGAUCACGUAGCCCACAUCGACGGCGUAAAUCGUCAAGAUCUCGUUCGCGUUCCCGUCGACGCAGUCGCUCUCCAAAGAAAUCACCAAAAUCACACAAAAUUAUUCGUAAACACCGCUCAAAGAGUCCGAGGCCAUCACGUAUUCCUUCACCUGUACAUCGUUCAACUCGGCGCUCUCCUAAUAGCAUUUUAGAACGCAAACUUAAAGUUGCAGCAAAAAUCAGCGAAACGAGUUUGUUCGCCGAGUUGGUUAAAGAUCGAAAUAUGCGCGAAUUAGCUUUGAAAAAGUUCCAAGCUGCCAAAGAAAAGGCUAAUCAAGACGAAGUGCAAAUUAUUGAUGGUUCUGAUGAAAAAGAAAAUAGCAAUUCUUCAACGACAACUGAUAAAGGGGGAGACAAGUCAAGCACAUCUGGUACGACUCCUUGUACAAACGUUGAUUUGACCCUCGACGUUACUGAUAUUCCUGUGCCUGCAAUGGGAACACCAAUGACUGAACCGCCGAUGCAGAACCAAAUAUUGUUACAAAUACCUAUACCAGGGGUACCUACCUCAUCUGUGGCUCCAAAUUUGUUAGCCAAUACAUUAAAUUAUUCUGCUAACAUCGUUUCAACCACAGCUACAACUGUAUCUGGAAAUACAAGUCUCACUUCUACAGGAGUAACAACUUUACAAUCUUUAGAAGAAAGAACAGGAUCAGCAACAAGUACACCACCUUUGCCUUCAACAGGACCGGCUGCAUUAGCAUUACAGCAACAAAAGAAUGAUUCUUUGAUUACUGCUACUGUACUUAAUCAAGGAGUAAAUGUCUACGGUUCUCCAACAGCUUUGGGUAUUGAUAUUGCUGGCAACUCGUCUGCGAUAUUAGUUUCAGCUGUAUCUCAAUCGCUGGUGCCACCUAUGCCACAGCAAGAACAGUUGGAACAGUUACAACAAAAAUUGCAACAGCAGUUGGCAAUUCCUAAUCAGUCCCAAGAAUCAGCUUAUACUCCUCCAUCCUCGCAAAUUUCUCCCCCAAUUCCAUCACAAAUUACCCAUGUAAAUUCAUCAACUGAGCCUUUAAAAACUGAUCGACUAUCACCAACAGAUUUAAAAACAGCGUCUGCGAAUAUUCGUGAACCAUCACCAAUGGAUUUAGAAGUUAAACAUAAUAUACCAGUAAACUCGCCCCGAAAUGAAUCACCUCAAAAGAACUCAGUUACAUCGAAAUUUGAAACACAGCAACAACGCGCUUCACCUUCAGAAAAUUUGGUACCAAUCCAGCAGGCUCAAGUACAACAGCUGACAUCACCUUCGCGAGCCCAGUAUUUACCGCAAUCCCAGCUGUCCUCUAAUAUAUCAUCAAAACCUCAAGCUCUACCAACAUCUCUUCCACCGCAAUUUGUACAUUCACCUAUUAGUCAACAAUCUGGUCACACGAACCAGCCUGUACACUCACUCGUUUCUCAGCAACCGAUUCAACAUCAACAACUGAAUUAUUCAUGUAAACAGUCACCGCAAGUUCAACAUCCUUCACGUGUUACUCAUCAUCCGCAAGUGCCUGUACACGUACCUCCUACAACAGCUAUAUCAGCACCUCCACAAUCCAAUUUCCCCUCUAAUUUUUCCCAAAACAUACCCCAGGUUGCUGGCUCUUCAUCUACUCCAUCUUUUGCACUCUCGACAGCAAUUGCAAAAUAUAGUACACCCAACAAUCUUGUUACCGUACCAAUCAAGUCAGAUGCACCCAAACCUCAAAUGGUUUUCAAAACAAAAAGCCUUUCAAAGUUGCCUUUACCACCAGGAAUUAAUCAGAAUGAUCUUGAGAGUAUUGAUUCUCCUCCAAGUCGCUCACCUAGCCCAACAUCUUCAACACCAGUGUUGAAACCUAAAACUCCAAAAAUAGCUCCACUUACACCAAAACCACACUUACCCUCUCACAAACCAACUUUAGUAACUCCUAAACCUGCGGUUGGUGUAAAAGCCAGAAAAAGCAUUAAAGAUUUACCUAUGCCACCUGGUCCAGCUACUGUUAGUCCAGAAUCAGGUGAAGAUGAUGUUUCAACGCCACCUCUUAGUAGACCAGAACGUUCUGUACCAAAACCAAAAUUAAAACGACCAAAGAUUUUGAAACGUCGUAGUUCUCGAAGCAGUCAAGUAACUUCUAUAUCUGGUAAUAAAGAUUGGGGUGAACGUUGCGUUGAUGUUUUUGAAGUUAUUGAUCAAAUUGGUGAGGGUACUUAUGGUCAAGUAUAUAAAGCUCAAGACAAAAGAGCUGGAGUUAUCGUUGCUCUCAAAAAAGUACGGCUUGAAAAUGAAAAAGAUGGGUUUCCUAUUACUGCUGUUAGAGAAAUUAAAAUAUUAAGACAGCUGAAUCAUAAGAAUAUUGUCAAUCUCCGAGAAAUUGUUACUGAUAAACAAGAUGCUCUUGAUUUUCGAAAGGACAAAGGUUCUUUUUACCUAGUAUUUGAAUAUAUGGAUCACGAUUUGAUGGGUCUUCUUGAAUCAGGAAUGGUUGAUUUUAAUGAAAUGAAUAACUCUAGCAUUAUGAAGCAAUUAUUAGAUGGCCUUAAUUAUUGUCACAGUAAGAAUUUUUUGCAUCGUGACAUCAAAUGUUCAAAUAUUCUUAUGAAUAACAAGGGUGAAGUCAAAUUAGCUGAUUUUGGUUUAGCUAGACUUUAUAACGCUGAAGAUAGACAGCGUCCAUACACUAAUAAAGUUAUUACUUUGUGGUAUAGACCACCAGAACUUUUAUUAGGGGAAGAACGAUAUGGACCAGCUAUUGAUGUUUGGAGCUGUGGAUGCAUAUUAGGAGAAUUAUUUCUUAAAAAACCACUGUUUCAGGCUAAUGUAGAAAUGAUGCAGUUAGAUAUUAUUUCUAAAGUAUGUGGCACUCCUGUACCAGCAGUAUGGCCGUCUGUGAUAAAAUUACCUUUGUGGCAUACUUUAAAACCAAAAAAAAUUUAUAGGAGAAGACUCAGGGACGAGUUUUCGUUUAUGCCAUCUACAGCUUUAGAUCUUUUGGACAGAAUGUUAGAACUUGACCCAGAAAAACGCAUUACGGCUGCUGAUGCUUUAAAAAGUCCAUGGCUUAAAAACGUACAACCAGAAUUAAUGCCUUUACCAAAAUUACCUACAAAUCAAGAUUGCCAUGAACUAUGGAGUAAGAAAAGAAGACGCCAAUUGCGAGAACAACAAGAAAGUUCACAAGGUAGAAUGCCUCUGAUGUCAGUACCAAAUAGAGGUGGCAUGCUAAAAGCCAUUGAGGACCUGACUGAUAUUGGGGGGAAAUAAAUUGUAUGGACAGUUGUGAUAAAGGAAUACUUUUUUUAACACUUAUAAAAGUAUCAUCAAAAAGACUAA
rnacentral:misc_RNA from 1 species